GCUGGAGAUCCGAGACGCCCGCGGAGAAAAGGUCACGGAGAAAUUCUACCAGGCAGGGUCAUCCAUUGACCUCACUUGCACCGGCUCUUUGGUCAGCCAGGAUCGCUUGGUGUGGAUGAGGGAAGACGGGUCAGCUGUGGUCAGCGGAGUCCACGACGGGAUGAGCGUGGAGGCCACCCCAGGGCCGAGGGAGAGCAGACCUCCCGCUUGAAGGUGGAGGAGGCCGCGACCUCGCACUCGGGGAACUACACCUGCUCCUCGACCCACGCUCGCCCUGCGGUCCUGCGCGUCCACGUCCUGGCUGGAGAAAGCUCAGCUGCCAUGCAACAUUCAACAAGCAGAGCAGCUGAUCCAGCCGUUCGCAGGCACCUCCUCACGCCGCUGCUGUGGGCCGUGCUGCUGCUCCUGGUCAUUCUUCCUUGACCUGUGACCUGGAUACGUGACCUGUCAUAUCGCUCCGAGCCGCACAGCCUGAUCUUGAAGAAAAUAUGAAGUGUGUGUGUUUGUUUGUUUGUAUAUGAUUUAUGUAUGUUUAU